rnacentral:rRNA from 1 species
AUUGAACGCUGGCGGCAGGCCUAACACAUGCAAGUCGGGCGAGCGGAGGACGGGUGAGUAAUGUAUGGGGAUCUGCCUGAUGGAGGGGGAUAACUACUGGAAACGGUAGCUAAUACCGCCUACCAACAGAUGAGCCCAUAUGGGAUUAGCUUGUAGGUGAGGUAAAGGCUCACCUAGGGGACGAUCCCUAGCUGGUCUGGUAGGAUGAUCGGCCACACGUGGACGUAGACACGGCCCAGACUCCUACGGGAGGCAGCAGGGGGGAAUAUUGCACAAUGGGCGCAAGCCGGAUGCAGCCAUGCCGCGUGUAUGAAGAAGGCCUUCGGGUUGUAAAGUACUUUCAGUCGGGAGGCGUUACCGACAGAAGAAGCACCGGCUAACUCCGUGCCAGCAGCCGCGGUAAUAC